AGCCACUGAUGACAAACUAAACAACUUUUCUGACACCUCGUAUGAGAGCAAAGCUCCUGAUUCUAACGCUGCUCUGAGGCUC
rnacentral:snoRNA from 1 species